rnacentral:rRNA from 1 species
CGUAGGUGACAAGCGUUGUCCGGAUUUACUGGGCGUAAAGAGCGCGCAGGCGGUCGAUCAAGUCGAGUGUGAAAGCCCCCGGCUCAACUGGGGAGGGUCAUUCGAUACUGAUCGACUCGAAGGCAGGAGAGGGUAGUGGAAUUCCCGGUGUAGUGGUGAAAUGCGUAGAUAUCGGGAGGAACACCAGUGGCGAAGGCGACUACCUGGCCUGUUCUUGACGCUGAGGCGCGAAAGCUAGGGGAGCAAACGGGAUUAGAUACCCCGGUAGUCCUAGCCGUAAACGAUGGACACUAGGUGUUGGUGGUAUCAACCCCGCCAGUGCCGAAGCUAACGCAUUAAGUGUCCCGCCUGGGGAGUACGGCCGCAAGGCUA